AGGAUAUUAAUCUUCCUGAAAAGUGUCAAAAAGCAAUUCCUCGUGCAGGUAGGAUGCUUAAAUCCACUACUCAUGUUUACGUUUUGCACUUUCGUGAAGAUAAUAUCGAAACCCAUUAUCAAGUUACAUUACCUGGAGGGGUUUGGAAGCAAGAAAGGGAACGGCCUAGAUUGAAACCUUCUGCAACCCCUUCCAAAUAUCUCUCAUCGAAUAAGAGAAAAAGGAAACCUACUUCAAGAAAUAAAGCUAUAACUGGAAGUGAUGUCGCUUGCAACUGAAAUAUUCCGGCUGGUAAUAGAUUAUUUUUUUGCAAAUAAAAUAUUUUAGUUUUAAUAUUUAUAUGAAACAUUUUUAUAGAUAUAGCUUCAGCUUCCCAGCCACUUGAUUGUGUACCAUUUGACUUUCCGCACUUGAAAGAUAACAGCAGUCGUUUUCUUAGAAAAGGUUGGACAUAUUUUUUUGAGUAAUCAACUGGAUUUCUCUUUUGGAAUGAUGAUAGUCUGGAGAGGUGGUUAAUUGUAAACAAAGACCUUUAUGCUAAAAGGGCAGGAAAAAUAUCUUCUACAAAAAGAAAAAAUUAUGGCUCUCUACUUUCUCAACAGGUAAUUAGUGCUCUGUACUUCACCAUUUGAUUAUAGAGUGUGUUAUGCUACUUGAGAAUACCAACUUUUAUGUCCAUAAUGUCACAACUGAAGGCGCCUCUUGAAAUCGGAGCAUGUGGCACAAAUUUGGCAUCACGAUGGACAAUAGCUGUGAACACAUAUGUGGUCAGACAAGACAGAUGUGGUUCAUGUCAGACUUCCCACACCUUAUAAAAUGUUUUAGAAAUGCUAUAGUUAGAACAUAAAUACAAUGAUGGACCAGUGUCUUUGAAAUUUUGGGAUGCUGUUGUGGAAAGUGACAAAUCAAACCAUUACAACUUGAAGGUUUGUACCAAGCUGACUGCUGACCAUGUUAGGCCCAAGCAUUUUCAAACGAUGAGUGUGGCAAUGGCUUUUCAGGUAAUAAUCCUUGUUAGUAGUCUCUUUCUGUUUUUAGUUUUUCACGAUCUGAUAUUUUGGCGUAGGGAUUGCCAAAUUGUUUUUUUAAGAUCAAUUAUUUUCAGUUUAAACACAAUGCAUUUAUAAAAAAGAAAUUUUCAUUUUAGUGCAGUAUUUUUAUCAAUUUCUUAUACAA
rnacentral:misc_RNA from 1 species